UGGUGAAACCUGGGCCGCUAAAGCGGAACGCGUGAACUUAAACCACUCGGCCACAGGGCUGGCCCCUUAAUUUUGUUUUUUAAUGAUGUAAAUGUUUUACAUGAUUCCGUUUACAUCCUACAUGACCCCACAUCUCCUCUCCUAGGUGUUUCCCCUGCAGAAAGGUGUACACGUGUGCAUCAAAAGAAUAGAAAUUCCACGAGGAAUUGUGUGUUUUGUUCACUGCUUCUUCCCUGAGCGUAGAAUUGUGCCUCGCACAUAGCAGCUCAGUAAAUAUUUGAUGAAUGAAUGAACGAACUCUAAUACAGCAAACAGACAAAGUACAAGAACAGGCUCCUCAGGGUGGUUUACGUCUUCAGUGUUUGGCCUGGACAUUUGUUUGAGGAACCCCUGAAGUGCUUCUGCCCAGCCAAGAGGGUUCCUCCGAGAAGAGUUUCAAAAUGACUGCUGAAGGCAAACGGGAGCAGCUGAAAGCUUUUGAAGGAUUUAGCUCUUGGCUCACUGUCACUCUCUCGAACACUACUCCUGUCACAGUCCCUGGUGAUGUGCAUGCUGCUGGACUGUGGACCCGCACUUUCAGUAGCAAAGGCCUGGACCAGGGGUUGGCAAACUUCUUCUGAUAGUAAAUAUUUUAGUCUUUGCAGGUGACGUAUGGUGUCUGUUGCAACUGCUCAACUCUGCCAUUGCAGCUAGACAAUACAUAAAUGAAUGGGUAUGGCAGGGUUCCAAUAAAAUUGUAGUUAUGGAAGCUGAAAUUUGAAUUUCAUAGAAUUUUCUUGUGUCACAAAAUAUUAUUCUUCUUUUGAUUUUUUUCAACCAUUUAAAAAUACAAAAACAAUUCUUAGUUGGCAGGCUGUACACAAAUAGGCAGCGGCCCGGUUUGGUCCACAGUUUGUCAACCCUUGGCCUAGACAACUGUUUCAAACCUCUUCUGUCCUCAGAUCUGCAGCCCUUCCUCCUCCGUUCUCUCACAUGAUGGCCUUGCUUCCUAGUCACCGAGAAAUUUUAAGCAAUCACAGGAGAUCUUCCAUGACUCACCUACCACGUCCCAGCUCCCAGCACCUGCACUCGAAUCCUCUGCCUUCAUCCUGUUCCUGCGGAUGAAGUAUUUGCACUAUGGCCAGCCUUUCUGCUUGCUUGUGCCCUCAAUCCUAACCCCUGUCACCUAGUCAAGAACCUUGCUCUGGCAGUUCUGUCCUUUCUGUCCCUGCUUUUCACUGGAUUGUUCCCAACAAUGUACAAAUAAAUAGGCGGGCAUUUCUCCCCUUUUAAAAGCCUGCUCUUUAUCCCAACUCCCUUUCCACUGCUACUCCGUUCCCUCCUUCCUUUUACAACAAAGCUGUGCAAGAUUUGUCGAGAUUUCUGUUUCCAAUUUCUCUCCUCUCAUGCUUUUUUUUUUUUUUUGAGGAAGAUUAGCCCUGAGCUAACUAC